GCGGGUUUAGCUCAGUUGGGAGAGCGUCAGACUGAAGUCCACUUCGGUUUCAUGGUCUACGGGUCAUGAGAAUUAAAUCUGAAGGUCAUGUGUUCGAUCCACAUAAACCGCA